rnacentral:rRNA from 1 species
UAGGGAAUUUUCGUCAAUGGGGGAAACCCUGAACGAGCAAUGCCGCGCGAGUGAAGAAGGUCUUCGGAUCGUAAAGUUCUGUUGUAAGUGAAGAACGGCUCAUAGAGGAAAUGCUAUGGGAGUGACGGUAGCUUACCAGAAAGCCACGGCUAACUACGUGCCAGCAGCCGCGGUAAUACGUAGGUGGCAAGCGUUAUCCGGAAUCAUUGGGCGUAAAGGGUGCGUAGGUGGCGUACUAAGUCUGUAGUAAAAGGCAAUGGCUCAACCAUUGUAAGCUAUGGAAACUGGUAUGCUGGAGUGCAGAAGAGAGCGAUGAAAUUCCAUGUGUAGCGGUAAAAUGCGUAGAUAUAUGGAGGAACACCAGUGGCGAAGGCGGUCGCCUGGUCUGUAACUGACACUGAGGCACGAAAGCGUGGGGAGCAAAUAGG